CGUGUGCUGUUCCGAUCUCGUCACUCAGAAAAGCUUCGCCUACUGGCGAGGAAGGUCGGACGCAAACAGAUGAAUUUCGUGGAUGGAAUACACGAACGUUUUCCUUCGUGAAAUCCAGCGAUCACGGGCAAUAAAUGCACCGUGCCGGAUCGAGAUUGCCGUUCGAGAUGUCAGGCAACGGUUUAUGGAGCAAAUGCCACGUAUGCGUGGAAUAAUU